UUCAGUGCAAUUCUUCGCUGAGAAUUGAUUGUAGUUCAAUAAUUCAUGGGCUUGACGCGGUGCAAUGAUAAUUCAAGGGUCGAGAGACAAAUGCACCUUUCUGGAAUUCUUCCCCUUGUUGCAUUAUCUGUCUCAUAAUUUCCCAGGCACGUACCCUCUUCACUCUUUCGCAUACUUGAUAGUAAUUAGGUGACACGUAUUGGAAUUACAGCUUGAAAUGGAAGAAACAAUUUGCCGUUGGUUACCACAGAGAAUCGUUGCAAAAAGUAUCGGUGUGUAAAGUCGUCGGGCAAGUUACUUGGUUGUGAGUUUUGAGUAACAGGUGCUGGAGUCCAAGAGAAGGCAGUAAUUGCGCGUGAAGCUGGUUACCAGUGGAGUGGCGAUGGUCAAAUGGAAUGGCAGCCGACGUAUCGAGCGUCAGGUGUGCCAUCAUAGCACACUACGUGAGACUAUACGCCGAAGCAAAAACGUUUAUCCGACGACCUCACCGAAUUCAAAUGGGGCCAGGAGAGAGACCACGCCCUUAGUGCGUGGGGUGCGAACUUCCGGUGCAAAAAUUACGACCAGCCAGCAUGUUACCGCAGUCCCGGGCUCAAAUCUCCCGAGAUUCUCCGUUGUCGGGAAGAACAAUAAAAAAUGACUCAAUAGAAAUUAAAA